rnacentral:rRNA from 1 species
CAGGAUGAACGCUAGCUACAGGCUUAACACAUGCAAGUCGAGGGGCAGCGUGGUCUUAGCUUGCUAAGAUUGAUGGCGACCGGCGCACGGGUGAGUAACGCGUAUCCAACCUUCCCUAUAGUAGGGGGAUAGCCCGUAGAAAUGCGGAUUAAUACCCUAUGUUGUAUUUCGAUGACAUCUGACGAAUACCAAAGGUUCACCGCUAUAGGAUGGGGAUGCGUCUGAUUAGGUAGUCGGCGGGGUAACGGCCCACCGAGCCAGCGAUCAGUAGGGGUUCUGAGAGGAAGGUCCCCCACAUUGGAACUGAGACACGGUCCAAACUCCUACGGGAGGCAGCAGUGAGGAAUAUUGGUCAAUGGGCGAGAGCCUGAACCAGCCAAGUAGCGUGCCAGGAUGACCGGCCCUAUGGGUUGUAAACUGUCUUUUAUGCGGGGAUAAAGUGAGGGACGUGUCCCUUAUUGUAGGUACCGCAUGAAUAAGGACCGGCUAAUUCCGUGCCAGCCGCUGC